rnacentral:rRNA from 1 species
AUGGGGUGACUGCGUACCUUUUGUAUAAUGGGUCAGCGACUUAUAUUCUGUAGCGAGGUUAACCGUAUAGGGGAGCCGUAGGGAAACCGAGUCUUAACUGGGCGAAUGAGUUGCAGGGUAUAGACCCGAAACCCGGUGAUCUAUCCAUGGGCAGGUUGAAGGUUGGGUAACACUAACUGGAGGACCGAACCGACUAAUGUUGAAAAAUUAGCGGAUGACUUGUGGAUGGGGGUGAAAGGCCAAUCAAACCGGGAGAUAGCUGGUUCUCCCCGAAAGCUAUUUAGGUAGCGCCUCGUGAACUCAUCUUCGGGGGUAGAGCACUGUUUCGACUAGGGGGUCAUCCCGACUUACCAACUCGAUGCAAACUGCGAAUACCGAAGAAUGUUAUCACGGGAGACACACGGCGGGUGCUAACGUCCGUCGUGAAGAGGGAAACAACCCAGACCGCCAGCUAAGGUCCCAAAGUCAUGGUUAAGUGGGAAACGAAGUGGGAAGGCUCAGACAGCCAGGAUGUUGGCUUAGAAGCAGCCAUCAUUUAAAGAAAGCGUAAUAGCUCACUGGUCGAGUCGGCCCGCGCGGAAGAUGUAACGGGGCUAAACCAUGCACCGAAGCUGCGGCAGCGACACAAAGUGUUGUUGGGUAGGGGAGCGUUCUGUAAGCCUGCGAAGGUGUACUGUGAGGUAUGCUGGAGGUAUCAGAAGUGCGAAUGCUGACAUAAGUAACGAUAAUGCGGGUGAAAAACCCGCACGCCGGAAGACCAAGGGUUCCUGUCCAACGUUAAUCGGGGCAGGGUGAGUCGACCCCUAAGGCGAGGCUGAAAAGCGUAGUCGAUGGGAAACGGGUUAAUAUUCCCGUACUGGUGGUAACUGCGAUGGGGGAACGGAGAAGGCUAGGUUGUCCGGGCGACGGUCGUCCCGGUUCAAGCAGGUAGGCAGAGUGAUUAGGCAAAUCCGGUCACUUAAUGCUGAGAUGUGAUGACGAACCACCAAGGUGGUGAAGCAAUUGAUGCCCCGCUUCCAGGAAAAGCCUCUAAGCUUCAGGUUACCAACAAUCGUACCCCAAACCGACACAGGUGGUCAGGUAGAGAAUACUCAGGCGCUUGAGAGAACUCGGGUGAAGGAACUAGGCAAAAUGGUGCCGUAACUUCGGGAGAAGGCACGCUGGCGGUAGGUAAAGUCCCU